rnacentral:rRNA from 1 species
AGUGAACGCUGGCGGUAGGCCUAACACAUGCAAGUCGAACGGCAGCACAGUAAGAGCUUGCUCUUACGGGUGGCGAGUGGCGGACGGGUGAGGAAUACAUCGGAAUCUACUUUUUCGUGGGGGAUAACGUAGGGAAACUUACGCUAAUACCGCAUACGACCUACGGGUGAAAGCAGGGGAUCUUCGGACCUUGCGCGAUUGAAUGAGCCGAUGUCGGAUUAGCUAGUUGGCGGGGUAAAGGCCCACCAAGGCGACGAUCCGUAGCUGGUCUGAGAGGAUGAUCAGCCACACUGGAACUGAGACACGGUCCGGACUCCUACGGGAGGCAGCAGUGGGGAAUAUUGGACAAAGGGCGCAAGCCUGAUCCAGCCAUACCGCGUGGGUGAAGAAGGCCUUCGGGUUGUAAAGCCCUUUUGUUGGGGAAGAAAAGCAGCAGGUUAAUACCCCGCUGUUCUGACGGUACCCAAAGAAUAAGCACCGGCUAACUUCGUG